rnacentral:rRNA from 1 species
GAUGAACGCUGGCGGCGUGCUUAACACAUGCAAGUCGAACGAAGCAUUUAAGACAGAUUACUUCGGUUUGAAGUCUUUUAUGACUGAGUGGCGGACGGGUGAGUAACGCGUGGGUAACCUGCCUCAUACAGGGGGAUAGCAGCUGGAAACGGCUGGUAAUACCGCAUAAGCGCACAGUACCACAUGGUACAGUGUGAAAAACUCCGGUGGUAUGAGAUGGACCCGCGUCUGAUUAGCUUGUUGGCGGGGUAACGGCCCACCAAGGCGACGAGCAGUAGCCGACCUGGGAGGGUGACCGGCCACAUUGGGUCUGAGACACGGCCCAGACUCCUACGGGAGGCAGCAGUGGGGAAUAUUGCACAAUGGAGGAAACUCUGAUGCAGCGACGCCGCGUGAGUGAAGAAGUAGUUCGCUAUGUAAAGCUCUAUCAGCAGGGAAGAUAGUGACGGUACCUGACUAAGAAGCUCCGGCUAAAUACGUG